UCCUUGAUCCUUACCCACAAAUAAUUCUCAGUGGCGUACAGAGAAAUGUACUCGGAUCAUUACUAGGCCAAGAAACAGAAUUCCGUUGGAUUCUUUCCGGACCCACACCUGAAAACCCCAUCUCACCCUCAUUAUUGUCAUUUUUCAAUAAGACGACCCCCGACAAGUUGCUCACACAAUUUUGGGAAGUCGAAGAAAUUCCGAAAAAGCCUCUACCCUCAACUUCGGAUAUACUGUGUGAGCAAAAUUAUCAAAAAACAACCCGAAGACACCCAACUGGGCGCUACGUGGUAACAUUAUCCUUUAAAACCCCAGAAAAAGUAGACUUGGGCAACUCAAGACAUAUAGCUUUAGCUCAGUUUCUAAGAAAUGAAAAAUCCCUAUCUAGAAAACCUGAAAUAAAAACAGAAUACGACAAGGCCAUCAACGAGCACCUGGAACUCGGUCAUAUGACCAAAAUAGAAUAUGACCCCGCAGAGAAUACGAAAAUAUACUAUCUACCACAUCACGCAGUCAUCAAAACCGAUCGCUUAACGACCCAACUGCGAGUGGUAUUCAACGCAUCCUGCCACACCUGAAAUAGAAACAGCUUCAACGAUGUACUACACACUGGACCUAUUUUACAAGCAGACCUGGUAUUCCUAGUGGUAAAGUGGCGUAUGUUUCGAAUUGUAUUCAAUGCAGAUAUUCAAAAAAUGUAUCGUCAAAUACUUGUUGAAAGAAAACACACCCCAUUUCAAAGAAUCUUAUUUAGAAAAUCGAUUAAUGACCCCGUAGAAGAUUUUGCACUACAAACUGUUACUUUUGGUAUUAACUGUGCCCCAUAUUUAGCUAUCCGUACCCUCCUCAAAUUAGCGGAUGAUGUACAAGAAAUCCACCCACUGGCAGCAGAGAUACUUCGAAACGGAAUGUACGUCGAUGACGUACUUGCAGGAGCACAUGACGUAGCAACUGCGAGGAUGGCACGAGACGAACUUACUUCAUCUUUGGAGUCCGCAGGAUUUGCUCUACGCAAAUGGACCUCAAAUGACCCAAAAGUCUUAUCUGGAAUCUCACAAGAACACUUGUUGGAUACGAACUUACUUAGUUUACCGGAAUCCAAUAGCACAAAAACACUGGGGAUCAGAUGGAAUGCAAAAAAAGAUGCAUUCGUUUUUUCAUCAACCCUAUUCACGAUAAGACAUCGUUUACUAAAAGAGAAGUACCUAUUAUCGAUUAUAGCAAAAUUGUUCGACCCAGCUGGUUGGCUCAGUCCCGUUGUAGUCACAGCCAAAAUAAUAAUGCAACAAAUAUGACUCGAUAAAUCCGUUUCUGAUGAAAGUUUAAAACCCUUAACUCUCCAUCGCUGGAAAACCUUCAUUAAGGAUUACGAUUCCCUAAUCAAUCCUUCUAAUUCGAAUCGAAAGCUGCUUGCAUUCUCGACCUUUAAGCCUACUAAUUGAAGACACCAGGAAUAUAGAACCUUUAACUCCAGGCCAUUUCUUAAUAGGUACCGCUUUAUUAACCCCAGCAGAACCCAACUUAGAAGAUACGCAGCUAAGCAUCGCACAUAGAUGGCAAAAGUUAAAGAUACUCCAUUAACACUUCUGCAAACGAUGGAAAGAAGAAUAUCUAAAAGAACUCCACAAACGGUAUAAGUGGAAAUACCCUCAACGCAAUAUAGAGGUCAAUGAUAUGGUAGUUAUACGCCAAGAAACUCUACCCCCAAAUGAAUGGAAACUUGGUCGCAUCGAAAAAACCUAUCUUGGUGCAGACAAUAAGACCAGAUGACAUGGCUCCUCAAAACAGCAUAAAAUCAAUCUGCAGCUGACAGAGCAGCCCAGCGUCACCCGAAGCAUCACCCCACUCUCCGACAAUGGGACCCUGGCUAGACGCUUACAUCGCUUUAAAGCGACCCUCUCCCCCAUUCAAGAAGAAAGAAGAAGUACCCACCGCACGGCUCGGCGUACUAUCACCCAUUCAUCAAAACGCGCACAUAAACACGUCGCCUGUAGAUUGUGCAAAAAAGAUCAUCGGCUGGUGACAUGUUCAAAAUUUGAUAAAACGAACAUUCACGAAAAGUUUGACGCAGUAACUAAAUAUAAGUACUGCGUCAACUGCUUGGCCAGAUCACACUCAACACAAAAAUGCACAAGCGCAAAACGAUGAAACAUGUGUAACGGAAAGCACCAUUAAACCCUACAUGGACACCCCAGGUUGUUUUGCAAAGAGAAAACCAAACCAACAAAGAGCGACGAACGACUGCACAAAGAUCAAGAGAUUCCAACACUACUGGCCAAGCCGAGCCUUAUACCCACUGCCAUGAUAAAAAUAAAACUCGAUGGCAAAUGGAAUAAAAUACGUGCCAUAAUUAACCCGACCAGAAAGGUGACAAUUAUUGCCUCGGAGCUAGUUCAGAGAUUGAGGUUACCGAAAACGUACCUUGACUCUCACCGCAUAUGUAAAAUCGUCAUAGGGUCACUCACUGAUUUCGACUGGCAUGUCGAUGUCAACUGCCUUAUGACGCAGGAAUUAGCGACCCGACCCUACAAUCGUGAUAUUGGUGGCGAAAUCUUUAAGAAAUUCGACCAUUUAGUCCUAGGCGACCCUAUGUUUCACAAGGAUGAGAAAAUCAUGAUGGAACUGGGAGCAGACAUCUACCCAAGGACAAUGAAACCCGGAUUAUUCAACCCAGACAACAGCACCGUGAUCGCACAAAACACCGCACUCGGUUGGACUCUAACCGGUGCUUGUGCGAUUUAAACCCUAAACCCUGCAAGGCGGCCGGGAUGUUCAUACCAAAUGAACACAUCCCUGCAUUGUUCUCCAAACUCGUAUAAAUACGAAUUAGAGGACAAUGCAAAAGGCUCAACAGCACCAACAUAGCUCAUAAUUCUAAUUAGAACAAAUCAGCAGGCAGGAGCAAAUAUCAGCGCGGACGGACACAAAAAGGCGCGAAAAUCAGAUCGCCCCAGCAGGACAACAACAACAACAGCACCACCACCAAAAUCUACGCGGGAUUAUCAACCCACAUCAGGUUAUAAUUGAAUUCAUAGUUAAUUUAUCUUAUUUAAGUCUAAGUUAUAAAUAACACAUAAAUUGAGUUAUACAUAUGUAUAACACUUAACAAACACGCACAUAAAUAUUGUACAAUUAACCCACACAAAUUGUCUAUAU